GCUUGCCUAGAUGAUUUUAGUGCUUGCACUAAAUGAAACUAUAUACAAGCGAGCGGCGGACGGGUGAGUAACACGUGGGUAACCUGCCCAAGAGACUGGGAUAACACCUGGAAACAGAUGCUAAUACCGGAUAACAACACUAGACGCAUGUCUAGAGUUUGAAAGAUGGUUCUGCUAUCACUCUUGGAUGGACCUGCGGUGCAUUAGCUAGUUGGUAAGGUAACGGCUUACCAAGGCAAUGAUGCAUAGCCGAGUUGAGAGACUGAUCGGCCACAUUGGGACUGAGACACGGCCCAAACUCCUACGGGAGGCAGCAGUAGGGAAUCUUCCACAAUGGACGAAAGUCUGAUGGAGCAACGCCGCGUGAGUGAAGAAGGGUUUCGGCUCGUAAAGCUCUGUUGGUAGUGAAGAAAGAUAGAGGUAGUAACUGGCCUUUAUUUGACGGUAAUUACUUAGAAAGUCACGGCUAACUACGUGCCAGCAGCCGCGGUAAUACGUAGGUGGCAAGCGUUGUCCGGAUUUAUUGGGCGUAAAGCGAGUGCAGGCGGUUCAAUAAGUCUGAUGUGAAAGCCUUCGGCUCAACCGGAGAAUUGCAUCAGAAACUGUUGAACUUGAGUGCAGAAGAGGAGAGUGGAACUCCAUGUGUAGCGGUGGAAUGCGUAGAUAUAUGGAAGAACACCAGUGGCGAAGGCGGCUCUCUGGUCUGCAACUGACGCUGAGGCUCGAAAGCAUGGGUAGCGAACAGGAUUAGAUACCCUGGUAGUCCAUGCCGUAAACGAUGAGUGCUAAGUGUUGGGAG
rnacentral:rRNA from 1 species